AAGAGAUAGAGACCAUUAGCAUGUCCAGUCCUCAGAUGUGGAGACUGAGGCACAGAGAGGAUAGGAAGCUUGCCAGGUUUAGGGAGAACUAGCUUUGACCCAGGUUUUCUGACAUUAGACACCGUGUGUUCCCUCCUUUCGAGGGAACCACUGGCCAGUUCCCUCCCGUGUUCUGCCUUUAUUGAGUGGAAGGCUCCCUUCCCAAAGUGUUGAGACAGAGGCCAUCAAUGGAGGGAAUGUCACUAGCUAACUCUGGCUGUGUGACUUCUAGUGUCCCUGAACCUCAGGUUCCUCGUUGAGUAAAGGAGGAGACUGAGUUAGGACCCCUGCCUUCCCUUCCAGCGUCAUCAUUCUGCUGUUCCUGUGACUCCCAGGGAGCGGAUGGCCUGUGGGGUCACCUUCUCUUCCUCUCUUCUGCCACCCCAAGUCGUCUGUGUUGCGUGUCAUGCAGUGGGAGAGCACCUUGGUCCGGACCUCAAGCUACCCACGUUCUAGUCCUGCCUCUGUCAUUUCCUAGAGCUGUGGCCUCGGGUAAGUCACCUCACCUCUCUGGGCCUCAGUUUCCUCAUUUGUAAAGUGAUGGGUUUGCUUAGAUGAUCGCUG
rnacentral:lncRNA from 1 species